rnacentral:tRNA from 1 species
GCUGCAGCGGCGGGAGGUUCUGGUCGUAGCCGUACUGGGCCUGCGGCACCUGGUGCGGCCCCGAGACGGCCGGGUUCGGCACCUGGUGGGGCCC